UGGGGAAUAUUGCGCAAUGGGGGGAACCCUGACGCAGCCAUGCCCGCGUGAAUGAAGAAGGCCUUAGGGUUGUAAAGUUCUUUCGGUAUUGAGGAAGGUUGAUGUGUUAAUAGCACAUCAAAUUGACGUUAAAUACAGAAGAAGCACCGGCUAACUCCGUGCCAGCAGCCGCGGUAAUACGGAGGGUGCGAGCGUUAAUCGGAAUAACUGGGCGUAAAGGGCACGCAGGCGGUUAUUUAAGUGAGGUGUGAAAGCCCCGGGCUUAACCUGGGAAUUGCAUUUCAGACUGGGUAACUAGAGUACUUUAGGGAGGGGUAGAAUUCCACGUGUAGCGGUGAAAUGCGUAGAGAUGUGGAGGAAUACCGAAGGCGAAGCNAGCCCCUUGGGAAUGUACUGACGCUCAUGUGCGAAAGCGUGGGGAGCAAACAGGAUUAGAUACCCUGGUAGUCCACGCUGUAAACGCUGUCGAUUUGGGGGUUGGGGUUUAACUCUGGCGCCCGUAGCUAACGUGAUAAAUCGACCGCCUGGGGAGUACGGCCGCAAGGUUA
rnacentral:rRNA from 1 species